UGGGGAAUAUUGGGCAAUGGACGCAAGUCUGACCCAGCAACGCCGCGUGAAGGAAGAAGGCUUUCGGGUUGUAAACUUCUUUUAAGAGGGAACAGAAGAAGAGGGUACCUCUUGAAUAAGCCACGGCUAACUACGUGCCAGCAGCCGCGGUAAUACGUAGGUGGCAAGCGUUGUCCGGAUUUACUGGGUGUAAAGGGCGUGUAGCCGGGGAGACAAGUCAGAUGUGAAAUCUGGAGGCUCAACCUCCAAACUGCAUUUGAAACUGUUUCUCUUGAGUAUCGGAGAGGUAAUCGGAAUUCCUAGUGUAGCGGUGAAAUGCGUAGAUAUUAGGAAGAAUACCAGUGGCGAAGGCGGAUUACUGGACGACAACUGACGGUGAGGCGCGAAAGCGUGGGGAGCAAACAGG
rnacentral:rRNA from 1 species